GAGAAAGCGGGGGACCUUCGGGCCUCGCGCCAUCAGAUGAGCCUAGGUCGGAUUAGCUAGUUGGUGAGGUAACGGCUCACCAAGGCGACGAUCCGUAACUGGUCUGAGAGGAUGAUCAGUCACACUGAGAGAAGCUUGCUUCUCUUGAGAGCGGCGGACGGGUGAGUAAUGCCUAGGAAUCUGCCUGGAACUGAGACACUGGUCCAGACUCCUACGGGAGGCAGCAGUGGGGAAUAUUGGACAAUGGGCGAAAGCCUGAUCCAGCCAUGCCGCGUGUGUGAAGAAGGUCUUCGGAUUGUAAAGCACUUUAAGUUGGGAGGAAGGGUUGUAACCUAAUACGUUGCAAUUUUGACGUUACCGACAGAAUAAGCACCGGCUAACUCUGUGCCAGCAGCCGCGGUAAUCAGAGGGUGCAAGCGUUAAUCGGAAUUACUGGGCGUAAAGCGCGCGUAGGUGGUUGGUUAAGUUGGAUGUGAAAGCCCCGGGCUAACCUGGGAACUGCAUCCAAAACUGGCCGGCUAGAGUACGGUAGAGGUGGUGGAAUUUCCUGUGUAGCGGUGAAAUGCGUAGAUAUAGGAAGGACCCCAGUGGCGAAGGCGACCACCUGGACUGAUACUGACACUUGAGGUGCGAAAGCGUGGGAGCAAACAGGAUUAGAUACCCUGGUAGUCCACGCCGUAAACGAUGUCAACUAGCCGUUGGAUUCCUUGAGAAUUUAGUGGCGCAGCUAACGCAUUAAGUUGACCGCCUGGGGAGUACGGCCGCAAGGUUAAAACUCAAAUGAAUUGACGGGGGCCCGCACAAGCGGUGGAGCAUGUGGUUUAAUUCGAAGCAACGCGAAGAACCUUACCUGGCCUUGACAUGCUGAGAACUUUCCAGAGAUGGAUUGGUGCCUUCGGGAACUCAGACACAGGUGCUGCAUGGCUGUCGUCAGCUCAGUGUCGUGAGAUGUUGGGUUAAGUCCCGUAACGAGCGCAACCCUUGUCCUUAGUUACCAAGCACAGUUAUGGUGGGCACUCUAAGGAGACUGCCAGGUGACAAACCGGAGGAAGGUGGGGAUGACGUCAAGUCAUCAUGGCCCUUACGGCCAGGGCUACACACGUGCUACAAUGGUCGGUACAAAGGGUUGCCAAGCCGCGAGGUGGAGCUAAUCCCAUAAAACCGAUCGUAGUCCGGAUCGCAGUCUGCAACUCGACUGCGUGAAGUCGGAAUCGCUAGUAAUCGUGAAUCAGAAUGUCACGGUGAAUACGUCCCGG
rnacentral:rRNA from 1 species